GAGACAGAGAGAAAGGGAGAGAGAGGAGUCACAGAAGUGAGCAGUGGGGGAUCUUGGGCAAAGGAGGUAAGACAGGAUAUGAAAACAAUGGACUCAUUGUGGAGUGAUGACAGAGGGAUGAGAAGGAGAGAUCUGUGGAACACAGCACCAUCUACAGGCUGAUCCAGCACACAAUCAGAUAAUCGCAGGAGGACACCUAAAAGCUUCAGCAAACAAGACAGAGGUGACCUAGAGACACAAUGCAUUCUUCUACGUUUCCUGAAUUUUUACAGGCCGAGUGACCGCAUUCCAGCCCCACCACCUUUCCUGUGCCAAAAAUGCCAACUGUAACAACAAAGAGUGGCAGAUGCCAAGGGAAUCCCAGACGACUGACCUCCAUGUAGCCGGCCUACCAAAGAGAAGCAAAUAUUUACCCUGCAUGUUUGAACCCAUGGCGUAGUGCCACGACUGCCCCUCAGAGUGCAUAUGGGGCUGAUAAGCUUACUUGUCAGUCUUUGAAUCCUGAGAUCGGGCGUGCCAUACACCCUGCAUGACGCCAGCUCAAGUCUUGUGGAUUUUAGACCAUCACGUAACGGAGAGGAACAUGUUAGAAUGUGGUACAUUUGGGAAAUGUGUUUCUUUUCUUGUUACUGUACUGUACACACAGUACAUACAUACACUCAAAAAUCUCAUUUUUGGCACAAUAACAUUGCUUGCAUAUGGUGUUAUUGCCAGCCUGAAAUUUAAAAGCAUAUUUUUGUCAACUAAUUUAUCUCUAACUCGAUAUAAAGAAGUUCUUAUAGGGAUUUACAAAGUAUUCCCAGUGCUGACUUUUAUUCUGUGAAAGUCCAGAACAUAGUCCCUGAGCUAAGAAGCCAUGAGACUGAUGUCUCCUCACAAGAAGCGAACUUCAAAAGUCAGUUUUGGAGGGACUGAUCUGAAGAAUGUGAGCCAGUCUCUAAUAACCAACAGAACAGGCUGGAUCAGUGGAGAAGGCCACCAAAUGAGAUCUCCUGGGCAUCAAAUAUAUACAAUACAUAAAAUAUAGUAUGUGCAUAUCGUAUUAAUGUGCUGUUCUAUUCUUCUGUUGAGGUGAAGCUUGUCUGUUUGGUUGGAGGAUGCUGAUGACUCAUCUGUCGUCACUGAACAAGAUGAACAAUUGUGGGAUUUAUAUGAAUAACAAGUAAUAGUUCUAGUUUUACUCAUUCUCUACUCCAUCUCCUCACUGGUGAGUGCUACAAGUCAGGCCAGUGUACGACAGCACAUUUGGUCCACCUGUUCACGCCAUGGCCCCACAACCAGGGUUGGGGAGUAACGGAAUACAUGUA